ensembl:lncRNA
CUGGAGUCCGGAUCCGGCCCCGCUCGGCGCCGUCCCGCGCAGCCCCCAUUUCCACGCCCUGGAAGUGACCCCUGCCGGGAGAAAGUGGGAGCAUUUGGGAGCAUGGUAGCGGCAGGCUUGUGGCGGACACGCGGACCGUGCCUGUGCGAAACCUUCAGAACCCGCAUUCGCCCCAGCCGCUCCUGGACCCAGGUCCACCCGGUAGGCGUGGAGAGCUGCGCUGACCCGAGGGUCCCUGCAGGGGCGAGGGAAGGUGACCUGGCCCUGUGACCGAGCAGAAGCGGCGGCCAGGACAGCCCUCCCUGGAGAGUGCAGCCACGCCUCACUGUUCUCAGUGCCGGAUCCCUCCCUGGCCACCUUCUGGUCCAGACCUGACUGUCACCUGCUCCACAUUUUCCUGGCUCCCCUGCUCGAUCCCGGCCUCCCAGGGAGCCGAUCUGGUGGGAUCAGACUUGGGAUUUUCAAAGGGAAAAAAGCUGAAUUUUCUUCUUUAGAGUUUUUGUUCUUAUAUCUGACUCCUGCUUUGCAAAAGCAUCGUGUUCAUUUUGGAAGCAGCUGUGAUGCUUGUUUCUCCAGGAGACAAAUUAAUAAAUUAAGAAGUCACCGCCACUGCCAGGCACCAGUCCCCCUCAGGAUCACUGGAUGUGAGGGGGGCCCGGUCCCCGAGCUCCCGCAUCGUGUUUCAGUGUCAUUGGAAAGGACACAGACUUCAGGGUGGUUCACGGCUGCUUCCAAGGUGUGGCAGUGUGGACAGCACCUGUCCCACUCCCCUCGAGGUGUCUGUGUGCGCACAGGGACAUUUAAACGCCCACAGAGAUACGUACUGAGCGCCUAGCUGUGGCCGGGAGGGGCAGGGCCUGGUAAACCCAGUGGGCAGGCAGGUGGCACAGGCAGUGUCUGAGGAGGGGUCUCUUGAGCAGAGACUCAUGCUAUGAGGGCCUUGCUGGCCAUCAGGGUGAGCUUGACCCAGAAGCUGCCGGCAAGGCCAGAGGUCCUGGCUGGAACUGGGCCGUGUCUGUAGGGUGGGGAGUGCCCAGGCACUGGCGAGCACUGAAAAUAGAGCCAGGCCCUGGAGCUGCUUCAGGGACCCAGCAGCAGGGACAGGAGGUCCUGCCUGGGGCAGCCCGGCAGCGGGGGCCCUGGUGGGGAGGUGGGAGUGUCUGGGACCGCCCUCUGCCCAGAAGCCAUUGGCUGCCUGGGUUGGGGGGGCGGAGCCUGCCCUGGCCUUCUUGCCCCUCUGCUGCUGCAGCUCAGGGGACUGUCCCCAGCCGUGGGGUGGCCAUGGUCCUGAGUGCAGCUCGGAGAGGCCCCGAACACCUAGCCCUGCAGUUCAGAGCCCCACUGAGCCUCUGUGGCGGGAUGAAGGGGGUGGAGAAGGCUGAAGGAGGACAGUGUCCCGUCCAUGGCUGAAGGAAGCUUUCCACUGGACAGUUGUCUCCCAGCCCGAGACAGACAUGUGUGACUGGCCAGCCGUGUCCAGAGAAUGCAACAGCUCAGUCUGGAAGGAAGCAGCCCGGCUAUGGGCCCACAGCCCCGACGCGGAUCCAGCUCUGUGCACUCAUGGGCGUGGAAUAGCGAAGUUGCGGUGGGCGGUGGGCGUCAGUCACUUGCACACACGUGUGUUGGGUGGGGACAGGCGCUCAGGGAGGUGUGGCUGCCUCUGAAGACAGUUGCUGGCUCAUCGUGGGCUUCGGGGUCAGCAGCUGCUUUCUCAGCGAGCCAGGGGAGUUGGUUGUGGGCGUCAGUGCUCAUAGCAGGGUGGGAGUUAGGUCCUUCGCAGUGUUGGAUCCCGG